ensembl:lncRNA
AUAUUAAUAGGUACUGUCAUUUUUGUAAUCCUCAAUACUAUAUUUAGAGAUGAUAAAAUAAGAAAAAUUGAGGAUAAAAUGCAAGCCCAAUUAGAAGAUCUAAAAAGUUUCUUACAGGAUCAAUUGGCAAACAACCACUCUACCAGAAACAGACCUGUUUCUGAACCUUUGAAUGAGGAAAUUUCCUUCCCUGAAAUAGAGAUGGAAAACACCUUCCCUAUAGCCCAGUUAACAGACUGCUUCUCUCGUGUAGUGCAAAUCUUGUCUGAAUUUAAUCCCAAAACCCUUUCCCCUGCAAUCCCAGCUUCUCAUGUUCCUUCUCCUACAGAAAACCAAAUUCCAAUGCAAGGGAGAUCUUGUCCUCCUAGAGAAACCUGUCCUUGUCAAACUGACCCACAGGUGCAAAAUUCAACUAGAGGCCUGUUUCCUCUAAGAGAAGUACCUGAAAUAGGACGGAAUGGGGAUGUGGUGACUUUAAGACAUAGGAUACUGUUUACUCCCCAAGAAAUAAAUGAAUUUACACGAAAUAUCCCCACAUAUGAACAAGAUCCUUUUCUAGUAACAAAAAAGAUGGGAGACAUAUUUUUUCAAUAUAAUCCGUCUUACAAGGACGUUGAGAGCUUACUACAGGCAUUUUUAAGUGAACGUGAAAAAAAUAAAAUAAUUGCUCAUGUCAACAAAACCCGGGGGCGUAAUGCAGCACAUUGGCCAUCUCAGGAUCCCGAAUGGGACUAUAAUAAUCCUGAGGACUAUCUACAACUAUACCGUUGUAGAGAGGCCAUCCUCACGGCCAUGAAGGAAUGUGCGGACAGUACAGAUAAGUGGAUGGAACUGGAAAAAAUUAAGCAAAAGGAAAACGAAACACCCUCCAGAUUUAUGGACAGAAUUAUCGAGUUUGGGGACAGAUACUUAGAUUGGGACUUAAAUAAAGAGAAUAGUUUAAGACAAGUUAGAAGAAUCUUUGUAAAUAAUUCUUGCAAAGUAAUUAAAAAUUAUUUUAAAACACAAUGCCCAAGAUGGUCAGAUAUGGACCUUGAAGAAUUGCGAAAAACAGCUAUAUAUGUUUUUAAGGGAAACGAAGAAAAGGAGAAAGAGGAUAAUGAUGACAUGGAGGAAAUGAAGAAAAAAAUGAGAUGUGUAAUAGAUAGGAUAACUAAAUUAGAAAGUGGGCAUGAUAAUGAACCAACGACAAUUGCCCCUCUCCAGAAAUCCAAUUAUCAAUCCAUUACUUGCCACUUCUGUGAGAAGAAGGGCCACAAAAUGAUGGAAUGUAGAACCUUUCUUAAGAUGUUUGGAAGGAAUACACAGUUUAAUAAUGGUUUUAGAAAUAAUAACUAUAGAAAUUAUGAUAAUGGUUAUAGAAACCAGAAUUCUAGAAAUUAUAAUAAUGACUAUGGAAAUAACUAUAAUGAAUAUAGAAAUAAGAACUUUAGAAACCAGAAUUAUAGAAAUAGGAAUUGGGAAUUUAAUGACAAUGCUCAAAUUGAAGAAAAUUUUAAUGAUAAUACUCAACAAUAUAUGAGAAAUGGCGCUCGUCCAAAAAUUACUCGAGGUACUAAUGACCCUCAGAGAGGUGCCCUUCAGGGGGGUGCCCAAGGAAUAUCCCAAACACAAUGAUGGUGCCCGGGGGGGGCUGGGGCACAGGAAUCAGAGGAUACAACCUUUGAUUUCCCAGACCCUGAUGUCCUACUACCCGUUGUCCCUAUCCACUGCCCUCCCCAUACUAAUGAACCCCAUGUUACCUUAAAAGUGGGUAACACUUAUUAUGAUUGUCUAUUAGACACCGGAGCUUCCUGGUCUGUAUUAAAGAGAACACCUGAUUU